GGAUGUGAGGGAGAUCUGGCUGCGACAUCUGUCACCCCACUGAUUGCCAAGAUCUGGCUGGCUAGGAGGGUGUGCCCUUCCUCCCUCACUGCCCCAUGUGUGUCCCUCCCAAAGCUGCAUGCUCUGUCAAAGAGGACGACCAUCUCUGAUAGAGGAGGACCAUUCUUCUCAGUCAAGGGUAUAUGAGUAGCUAUGCUUGCCUGCUAGAACUUCUAAACAAGCUCUCAAAAGUGGGCAGAAGACCUAAACAAGCAAUCCUCCAAUGAAGACAUACAAAUGGCCAAUAGGCACAUGAAAAAAUGCUCAGCAUUG
rnacentral:snRNA from 1 species